rnacentral:lncRNA from 1 species
CCGCCACCGCCAUAACAACAACUUGAAAUGGUUUGCCUUUUUCUUCUCUCUUUACUCUGACAACAAACGAAUGUCAAUUAGUACCGUUGGCGCUAUUAACAAGACUGACCUUAAAUCUUCUCUGAGAGCAACAACAAUUGACAACUGCACUGGUUUCAUUCGUUGGGCUUUGCCACUUUGGAUGAGUGAACUUAGGAGGAUGGAGUGAAGUGCUGGUAAUGACUAGCCACCCAGGUAUACAGCAGGGUUAGCAAUCACCCACGGAGGAAACCAACAGAGUCGUUAGCGAGCAUUGACAAAAUAAUGUCUCUGUCGGCAAAUUAAUAAGGAGUUACCCACCAGCUGUCCACCCUCGAAGUUAAUGAGGAAGAUUAGUAAAGUUAAUGAAAGAUGGCUUGAGAGACACAACACGGUCAGGAUUUACUGUCUGUUCUCUACCUGUAAUGGAACAUGGAAAAUCAAGGUGAACUUGACCUCAAAACCCUGGCUUAAUAUGUGAGUGACAUCUGAUUUAGUUCCUUAUUUUUUAUUCCCUGUUGUUGUAUAUUUAUAUAUUUUGGAACUAGUUCUUGAAGUACAUAUAGAGCUAUUAACCCAUUAAGUCCCAUUGUCCUAUAAAUAGGACACUAAAUGUAAACAUUAAAUAAGCUAAUCACAUUGUCUCGGUGUCCUAUUUAUAGGACACUGAGUAUUUCCAUUUCUACGUGAAGUAAAGGAGUUUUAAUAAUUAUUUUUUCAUUUUCCAAUCAUCCAUAAAAAUUUUCAAUCAUCCAUAAAAAUUUAAAAGUAAUAUUCAGAAAUUUAAGUACUCUGGGACUUAAUGGGUUAAUAAUCUUUUCUAUUAUAGGUACAAGGCUGGAAAUUUAAUGGGAGGAAGCUAGUCAAAUACAUUGAUCCCAGUACUCAGCUGGUAUUUAUUCUAUUGACCCUGAAAGGAUGAAAGGCAAAGUUGACCUCGGCAGAAUUUGAACUCAGAACAUAAAGACAGGCAAAAUACCACUUACUAUUUUGCCAAGCAUAUUAAUCCAGAGAGCUGUACCAGGUUGCAGUCUUGAUUUGACUGCAGUUUCUAUACCUGGAGGCCCUUCAUAAUGCCAAUCACUCCAAGAGUGUAGCGGGUGCCUUUUACGUGUCACUGGCAUGGGUGCAUUUUACAUGCCGCUGGCACAGGUGUCUUUUAUGUGUCACUGCCAUGGGUGCCUAUCAUAUAUGGGUACAUUUUACAUGUCACUGGCCCUGGACUCAACUACGGUUUUGCUUGGUUUGAUGUGUCUUCUCAAGCACAGCAAAAUACCAAAGAUCUCAAUCACUUGUCAUUAUUUCCGUGAGACUCAACAUCCGAAGAUCAUGUUUCACCACCUCAUCCCAUGUCUUCCUGGGUUGUCCUCAUCCACAGCUUCCCUCCACAGUUAGAGAUCAGCACUUCUUAACACAUCACAUGAUCAUAGCCCUGUACUCUCUCUUGCACACCACAUCUAAUGCUUCUUGCACCCAAUUUUUCUCUCAAGAUCCUAACACUCUGUUGUACUUGUACACUGACAUUGCACAUCCAGCGAAAAAUUAAUCAUGUUACCUUGUGGCUUUGAGAUUUCAAUGAUGUGAUUGUAUAUUUUUAGAAUGGCAUUGUAGGAUAGGUGUGAGAUGCCAGAUCUAGCCAAUUUGAACACAAAACAUGCAGAAUAUUUUAGCCAGAUAUAACCACUUUAGGCGGCAAGCUGGCAGAAAUGUUAGCGUGCCGGGCAAAAUGCUUAGUGGUAAUUCGUCUGCUGUAAUGUUCUGAGUUCAAAUUCCACCGAGGUCGACUUUACCUUUCAUCCUUUCGGGGUCGAUAAAUAAAGUACCAGUUAUGCACUGGGAUUGAUGUAAUCGACUUAAUCCCUUUGUCUGUCCUUGUUUGCCCCCUCUAUGUUUAGCCCCUUGUGGGCAAUAAACGAAUAAGAUAUAACCAGUUUAAAUGCUCAAGUUACUGACAAGAUUGAAAAAAAUCACCUGACAUUAUCAGUUUGACAUUGUGAUGCCAACUUUGUGUGUGUGAAGGAAGUCUGUUACUAAUUAUAUGUAUAUGUAUGUAUAUGUAUGUAUAUACAUGUGUGUAUGCAUGUACAUAUCCGGCUGAGCACUGAAGCUGAUGUAAUUGACUUGCCACUCCCCUAAAAUUGUUAGUUUUGAAUCAAAAUUUGAAACUAUUAUCAUAAAGCAGUGUUUUUUUUUUUUUUUGUUGCCUUUCGUACUAUCAGAGUUGGUAAAGUAAACUACCAGUUAAGUAUUGUGAGUCAAUGUAAUCAACUGCUAGCCUUAUAGCUAAAUAUUUAAAAAAAUCCAUUAUUAUUAUUAUUAUUUAUUAUUAUUAUUAUUAUUAUUAUUAUUAUUAUUAUUAUUAUUAUUAUUAUUUACAUUAUUAUUAUUAUUAUUAUUUAUUAUUAUUAUUAUUAUUAUUAUUAUUAUUAUUAUUAUUAUUAUUAUUAUUAUUAUUAUUAUGACCUCCACCUUAGUGGAGGCAGCGGUAUUAUUGUUUUCAGUCGUGUUUCUUUCUUUGAUUGUUUGUCUGUCCAUGGACAAGAUAUCUCAAGAACCAAUGGAUGAAUUCUGAUGAAACUUCCAGGAAUAUUUGGCCUCAUGAUUGGCACGAUCUGAUUAAAUUUGGGGAUAGCAAACGUUUCUGCCAACUUGCCAUUUUUUCAUUAGCUUGACAUAUCUUAUCAAGUGUCACAAAUUUCCACAUCUCCCAGUCCCUCGUUAUUUUCCUCAGUGAGUUCAAAUUCUGCUGAGGUCAACUUUGCUUUUCAUCCUUUCAGGAUCAAUAAAAUAAGUACCAGCUGAGUACUGGGGGGGUCUUUGUAAUUGACUUAUCCCAUCCCCAGAAAUUGCUAGCAUUGUGCCAAAAUUUAGAACCAAUAUUCUGGAAUUAUUUAAAUUUGUUUUUAAAAGAUGUUUUAUUUUGACUUACACAAAGAAUUUUACUGUUUCUUUCUUUAAACAGUUCCUUUGCUCUCUUCCUCAUGAAGUUGUAAUAAUGUCAGCUACCAAAGAAAAUGGUCGUGAAGAAAAUGAAGAACCACGAAAAAAGGAAAAGAGAAAACCCAUCCUCAUAUCACUGGCUCUGUUCUAGUUAAAAAAAAAAAAAAUUGUAAAAAAAAAUGUUGAUUAAUUAAAACGUGAAUUGGUUUUUAUAGAGAAUAUUGAACUGGCUUUUCAUUAUUUGUCCUUCAAAUAACAACUGAGGAAUCACUUACAGAAUCUGGGAAAAUAUCAGAAAAGCCAAAGUUGAAGAGAAAAUAUUUACGCUAUCAUUAAGAUAUUUGUAUAUCAUUUUGUAUAAACAAAACAACUUGAUAUUGUAACUAGACAAAUAUCUGUUGUUUUUUUUUUAUGACCUUCUAGUUACACCAGAACACAUUUAAAUAUCUGUGCAUGUGUAUGUGUAUAUGUGUGUAUGUGUGUGUGUGUAUAUAUAUACCAUGGAGAGAAUUGUCAGUAAAUUCAUGUAACGACCUUCAUAAUUUAUAUGUAAUUUUCCACAUAACACUAUAUCUAUCAAUCUGUCUGUCUGUCUAUUUAUCUAGUUGUCUAUUUAUUCAUCUCUCCAUCAAUCCAAAUCUACUACUUCACACCCAUGUAAUAUAUAGAGUACAACUUUGCCUCUCUGACUCUGUCUGUCUGCCUGCCUGCCUGCCUGCCUGCCUGCCUGUCUGUCUGUCUGUCUGUCUGUCUCUCUCUCUCUCUCUCUCUCUGUAUAUAUAUUUACUUACUUUAUUCUAUGUAUUAAGCAAUCUCCCAUUUGUAAACACACACACACACACA